rnacentral:rRNA from 1 species
ACGGGAGGCAGCAGUGGGGAAUAUUGCGCAAUGGGCGCAAGCCUGAUGCAGCAACGCCGCGUGAGGGAAGACGGUUUUCGGAUUGUAAACCUCUGUCUUUGGUGACGAAGAAGUGACGGUAGCCAAGGAGGAAGCCACGGCUAACUACGUGCCAGCAGCCGCGGUAAUACGUAGGGAGCGAGCGUUAUCCGGAAUUACUGGGUGUAAAGGGAGUGUAGGCGGGACUGUAAGUCAGAUGUGAAAUAUGCCGGCUCAACUGGCAGACUGCAUUUGAAACUGCGGUUCUUGAGUGAAGUAGAGGUAAGCGGAAUUCCUAGUGUAGCGGUGAAAUGCGUAGAUAUUAGGAGGAACAUCAGUGGCGAAGGCGGCUUACUGGGCUUUAACUGACGCUGAGGCUCGAAAGCGUGGGGAGCAAACAGGAUUAGAUACCCUGGUA